UACGGAGGGUGCAAGCGUUAUCCGGAUUUACUGGGUUUAAAGGGUGCGCAGGCGGAUAUGUAAGUCAGUGGUGAAAUCUCUAGGCUUAACCUGGAAAUUGCCGUUGAUACUAUAUAUCUUGAAUGCUGUGGAGGUAAGCGGAAUAUGUCAUGUAGCGGUGAAAUGCUUAGAUAUGACAUAGAACACCUAUUGCGAAGGCAGCUUACUGGACCGGAACUGACGCUGAGGCGCGAAAGCGUGGGGAGCAAACAGG
rnacentral:rRNA from 1 species